CAGAGGUUCUGGGGAGAUUCAGGCACCAGAGCCGACGGCAUUUGCCCAAAGUCACGUUUCUCUCCCAGGAAGAGACAUUUUGGUCUUGACAGGCACUGGGGACAUCAUCACAGACUCACGUGCCACCACCCACACUACAGAGAAGGGCUCAAUCCUGGAAGUCGGUGCAGGUCCCUAUGUACUGUUUGUUUUUAAAUGAGACUAUCUUCUUGUAAG